rnacentral:rRNA from 1 species
UACGUAGGCAGCAAGCGUUGUUCGGAGUUACUGGGCGUAAAGGGUGUGUAGGCGGUUCUUUAAGUUUGGUGUGAAAUCUCCCGGCUCAACCGGGAGGGUGCGCCGAAAACUGAAGGGCUAGAGUGCGGGAGAGGAGAGUGGAAUUCCUGGUGUAGCGGUGAAAUGCGUAGAUAUCAGGAGGAACACCGGUGGUGUAGACGGCUUUCUGGACCGUAACUGACGCUGAGACACGAAAGCGUGGGUAGCAAACAGG